GCGCCCGUAGCUCAAUCGGAUAGAGCAACAGCCUUCUAAGCUGUGGGUUAGGCGUUCAAUUCGCCUCGGGCGCA
rnacentral:tRNA from 1 species